GCAAUGGUAGUUUAGUGGUAGAAUUCUUGCCUUCCAAGCUGGAGACCUGGGUUCCUUUCCUGACCAGGGCA
rnacentral:tRNA from 1 species